ncrna:unclassified sequences pemK RNA
AUCAUGAUACUUCUGUCCAGCCACAGCCCCGCAGGGAUGCGGGAUCACGCAAUGGGGGGCAGCCCGUGGAGAAGCCUCGGGAGGUGAAAUUCCUAUGA